UGCCCACCUAAUUUUUGAUCAUUUUUAAUGCUGGCCCAUGCCCUUCUGGGAGAGAGGAUCCCCAAACGAAAGCCACCAUUUCAGUGGGGGAUCUGACGCUCCUAUGGGAAGGGGAGACCUGGGGCACUAGGGGCAAACAUCUUUGCUCAUUGGUUCAGAGAAGAGUACAAGACACCAAGGAGGCGCUCAAUGAAAAUCUGCUCAAGACUGCCGCUCCUCCCUGCAAAGCCUCAAGCGUCAAGCAGGGACAACUGGAUGUGAUUUUUUGGAUCUGCAGUUCAGGAUAAUUCAUGAGUCGUUUCCUGUGCACAAGGCCAUUGCUCCUUCUGUGGUCUCAGAACCCCUUCAAGAACCACUGACGCUGCAGGCCCUACCACAAGGCGCGCAUGCGUGUCCGUGCGCGCACGCGGAUGUGCACCACGGAGGGGCUGAGGCUGGGGGCCAUAGUCAGGGGCACCGGGUGGGCUUUGGCGGGGGAUCGACCUGCCUUUCAGGUGCCGGGGGUUUGGGAGCAGGGGAACGGGCGCCGGGCCGAUUCCUGACCGCUUCCUCCGCGCCCCGCCCACACUCACUGUCGCUUUCCCCGCCCGCCCACCCGAACACCCACCCCCGGGCGCCCGCCCGCUCCCACCUGUCACCCCCAUGCAGACCGAGGCUCUGUCCUGGAGGCGGGGAGCGGGCUGGUAGAUGCUGCCUCUCAGCCUCCAGUGUGCUCUUUGGCUGGGAGACUGGGGGGCGCUGGAAAUAUUGGAGGCGCUGGUGCCUGUGAUGUAGCCGCCUCUGUGACGUCCCUGCCGCGACCCCGCAGGCAGGGAGCCGCAUUUAGGUUCCGGGCGGGCGGGCGAGCAGGCGGGGGACGGCCCGAGUGAGGUGUCCUCCGAAGGCUGCGGGCCCGAAGCCAGAACCCCUCUCCAAAGACCUCGGGAGUAGGGCUCGCGCUUCCGCUGCGGGCCCAGAGCAAGAGGCAGGCGGCAGGGAGAGGCUGUCGAUGCUGAGGCACGAGAGAAUUUGCUCCUGCUCCUCCAGAGAAAAUGGCUGGGACAGGCUGUUCAGGAAUAAUUCUGCAGGGAAAAGUGGAAGAAAAUGGCUGUGAAAGAUUGGGAGGAGGCUGGCUAUGUUUUCAGGGGUUCUUCCUGCACAGUCUGUAGAAGCUGAGCUGCUGGGGAAGGGGCUGGAAGAAAGCCCACACCGCAGGUGUCAGUAGCAAAUUGAAAAACUACAGAAUCAGUUCCAGAGGACUUUGUUAACAAGAAAGAGAAGAUUGAAAAAAGCCCUGGGGCUACACCAACUCAAGAGCUCCUAGGCAAAGUGGCGUCCUGGACCUACCAUCUCUCCUACCCUGUCCUCAGUCAGUACUUCCCCAGGCACCGUUGGUUCUGGUGCGGGGCAAGUUCAACCCUGGGACCACCCUCAUCCUUAUAACUACCAGCUGUCUUUGGUGAGGUGCAAGAUCUCUCUGGUUUUAUUUCAUUUUCAUUCCUAUAAUCACGGCCUUUUUGUGCCCAUCCCUCAGGUGACGUUCUAUUGUGUUUGAUGUAUCAUUUUUGAUUGGGUUGUGUUCUUGCAAAAUGUGUGUCGUUUUAUUUAUCGAUUUUUAUUUUUGUAUUUUUUGUUUUUUAAAGAGACGAGGUCUCACCAUGUUGCCCAGGCUGGACUCCAACUCCUGGGCUCAAGCGAUCCUUCCACCUCAGCCUCCUGAGUGGCUGGGACUACAGACGUGCGCCACCAUACCUGGCUAUUGAUCAGUUUUUAGUUUACCAAACAUUACCAUCUGGGUUGCAUUCUGUGUCGGGUUCUCUUUUCACUCGGCACCAUGGCUUUAGGAUCCGUCCAUGCUGCUCUGUGAACACCGAGUUGCUUUAACUGCUUGGUGCUCCAUGCGGCAUCCUUUUUUGUGUCUCUGUCCUCCCAAUGAGGGACCCCACUGUACCCUACUCCCCUCCCACAAAGGAAGCUGUAGCGCGCAUCCUCAGGCGUGUUCCCAUAUGGAUCUGUUGGCAUUCCUUUGUCAGUGCACCCAGGGGUAGCGGUCCUGGGUCUCAGUCUGCAGACAUCUGCCUGAGUGCAGCCAGGCGCUCUCCAGAGUGGGCAGCCUUGUCCACAUGCCCAUCAGCAGCACCCGAGGGGUCCCAACAGCCCCACAUCCCACCAACUUUCUGCUUUUUUCCAGUCAAAUGGCUCUCGAGUGUUACCUGGCUUCAUUUAUUUAUUUUUUGAGUCAGGGUCUCUGCUGCCCAGGCUGGAGUGCAGUGGUACAAUCGUGGCUCACUGUAGCCUCGACCUCCCAGGCUCAAACAAUCCUCCCACCUCCUGAGUAGCUGGGACUACAGGCACAUGCCACCAUGUCUGGUUAAUUUUUAAAUUUUUUUUGCAGAGAAAGGGUCUUGCUAUGUUGCUCAGGCUGAUCUUGAACUCCUGGCCUCAAGUGAUCCUCCUGCCCCAGCCUCCCAAAGUGCUGGGAUUACAGGUGUGUGCCACUGCUCCCGGCCUCUCUUUAUUUUGUAUUCUUGGAUUCCUAGCGAGUUUCAGCCCCCUUUACACAUCAUAACCCUUGUGAUAUUAGUAAACAUAUAUUUCAUCUUUAACCCCAUUUCUGGCACAUAACUCCUAAAAGCCUUCCUCUCCAAAGUGAUCUCUUUCUAUGUACUAAUGGAUUGACUGAAGGCUGGCAGCCCCUAGGUAGCUUCAGGAUGGAGGCUGGUCAUCCGAGAGACACAGGCAGGAUUAGAGGGCUGGGACUUUCAUCCUACCAUCCCACAUACUGGGAGGGAAGGGGGCUAAAGGUUAAGCUGUUCGCCAAUGGCCAAUGGUUUCAUCAGUCAUGACUUUGUAAUGAAGCCUCCACAAAAACCCAAGAAGACAGGGUUCAGAGAGCUUCUGGUAGCUGGGCACGUGGAGGUUCCUGGAGGGUGCCAAGCCCUAGAAGCUCCGCGCUCCCUCCCACAUGCCUUGCCCUAUGCAUCUCAUUUGUAUCCUUUGUAAUAUCCUUUCUAAUAAACUGGUAAAUGUAA